GUCCACGCCGUAAACGAUGAUAACUAGCUGUCCGGGCACUUGGUGCUUGGGUGGCGCAGCUAACGCAUUAAGUUAUCCGCCUGGGGAGUACGGCCGCAAGGUUAAAACUCAAAGGAAUUGACGGGGGCCUGCACAAGCGGUGGAGCAUGUGGUUUAAUUCGAAGCAACGCGCAGAACCUUACCAGCGUUUGACAUGUCCGGACGAUUUCCAGAGAUGGAUCUCUUCCCUUCGGGGACUGGAACACAGGUGCUGCAUGGCUGUCGU
rnacentral:rRNA from 1 species